UAUUGUAAAAUUAUAUAGUAAAUGAUAUUGUAAAAUUAAAUAGUAAAUUCACACGAUGUUCAAAUAAUUCGAAAUAACGAUAGACCAAAAGCUGUUUAAACGAGACACAAGAAUUAAUCGUGCAUUUUAUUAAAAAGUUAAGUACGAAUAAAAGAAAGAAAAAUUUCGAACUUUUUUCGAAAGAACAUACAUUUAUUAUACAACAUACAUACAUUUAUUAUAUAUUGUGUUCUUUCAAACACAAUAAUACCUUCCAUAAAGGAGCACAGCCCAGAUGAGACUUUUUAUAGUUAAACUUUUAACGUACUCAUAGAAACGAAAUUUUUUUUUUUAAAUAGAACUGUUACAUUUUACGACACGUAUAACAUCGAACAUUUACCAACAUAGCGAUGCCAGCGUACAUAUAUAUAUACUGGUGUACUGGUCAUCUUUUUUCCACACGUUUUUAGCUUUUCAGCUGUUUGUGAAUGGGCGCCUAAUCAGCCAAUCAGAAAUGGCCGGUAUUCUAUGAAUCCUUUUCUUCAAUGCUCGAAGAGCUGGAUAUUUAUCCAAAGCUGGUGCCCCAAACAUAUACUCGUAAUUUUCAAGGGCCGCUGCAAAUACGAAGUCCGCCCAUGUCGUCUGAAAAAAGGAUUCUCCUCCAUGCGAUAGUAGCAGAUAUCUGAAACGUAUAUGAAACCAACCGUUACGUUCAUUUGUGUUUUUCCCCCCAAACGAAGAGAAAAUAAGGUGUGAAAGAAGGAGUAGCCUCUCAUAGUUCCUACAAUUUCUUCAUUCUCUUUGCUUUCUUCAAUAUUGCCUCAACAAGUUCCUGUGGUUCACGAUACUUGAAAUAUAUACAAUGUUACCAGCGUGGAAAUUGUCUUGGAAACUUGGAAAAUCUUUCAAGAGGAACAACAUUGCUAACUGAGAUUCGAGAAAGGAAAUUACCAAGAAUGUCGAGAUAUAAACAACCAUUUGUGGAAAGGUCAGGAGAAGCAGAAUUAUCGAAUAAACGUUAUAUAACUCUUAGUGAUUAAGUAAGAGAAGAGAAACGAGAAAAAAGUCUUUUAUCUAGGUCUUAAUAAAGUAUACUAUAUUUAUCUCCAUAUCAAGAAUAACAACAAGAUAUAAACAGUCUUCUAGAAAUUGAACUCUUUGCAUCUUCUAUACAGGUAUCUCAUGAUCAUGUGAUAACACACAGGAAGAAAAAAUAGAGGAAAAAACAGCGUAAAAAAAAGUUGCGUAGGAGUAUCGUCGCACUACAUCAUUCAACAAUUGAUGCACGUCAUGGCGAUCGUCACGGUUUAAAGCAGGCCAUCAAAAACACGUUUGUUAUCGUACGGAAAAAUCUGCGACGUUCCAGCUGUUCAGGUGCAUCGAAUUGUGAAUCAUCGGCGGUACGAAGCAAGGCGAGGGGCGUAAAUAGAGAAAGAAGAGAAGAGAAGGAUUCGCAUAAAUGAUAAAAUAUAAUCGUUCGUUCCUCGUCGAUGGCGGAUGGAUGGCUUUAAUCGUGGACGAUAUCGAUACGAUUAUAUUUUAUACAUUUGAAACAAAUAUAAAAGACGAGCAAAAACCAGAGAUACGAUCGUUAUGAUAUUAUUCAAUCGGUAGCCUAUUUACCUCGUUUUUUGUUCACCUUCUCUGUCUAGUAAUAAUUUUUCGAUUCGACUGGCGUGACGUUACGUUGGCGGUGUAGAAACACGAUUUUAAACACCUGCGGAUAGUUGCAUGAGUUUCGAGCGAUUCCAUUCCCUUCGAUUUAUAUUUAUGCGAUCAACGCGCGGAUCGUUAACGCAUUAUGCAGACAGCAGAUGUUACGUAAUCACACAUAUCGUAAUUGGAAAUUAGUAACGUUAUCGCGUACCAGGAUCUUCCUGUCUUUGAUCAUCGAGUAACACUUCGUUGUCCUCGCUUCUUCCGCGGAUAACCAGCGUUUAUCAUAUAGAGACAGGGAUUUGCAAAGAAUAAAAGUUGUAGAACGUUGAAAGGCGUUGAGAGAAACGUGAUGUUAUCCCGUUAUUCGUUAACGCAACGCAGUUAAAAAAAAUCCCGUAGGAAGAUUACGAUAAUAGAUAACCUGAGUCGAGUGUUUGUCGGGGGAUCUAAAAGAUUCUUUCGAGUUGAGCGUCUGAGAUUGCAGAGAAGAAAAUUUGGAAGCCAUCGAAUUCGUGAUGUCGAUAGAAAUCUUCAGUUGGAAUCGUUGUAUCAUAACGUAGUCUGCUUAUUGUCGAUAAGACUUUACUAAACUAAAAGUGACUACUAAAAGUUUCUAUCCUCUAAAUUCUAUCUACGAUUCUAUAAUCUAAAAACUGACUUUUGCAAACAAACUGUAACAUUCGCUUAACGGAAAGACAUACGUAUCUUGUUUGUACUCGUCUUUUCACAAUGAAUU